AGGACAGUGAUGUCUCAGUUGAUUGUC
rnacentral:piRNA from 1 species